UACGGAAGGGGCAAGCGUUGUUCGGAAUCAUUGGGCGUAAAGGGCGCGUAGGUGGUUCUGUAUGUCUACCGUGAAAACAUACAGCUCAACUGUAUUUUGUCGGUAGAAACUGCAGGACUUGAGGCUGGGAGGGGCUGGUGGAAUUCCCUGUGUAGCGGUGAAAUGCGUAGAGAUGGGGGAGAACACUCGUGGCGAAGGCGGCCAGCUAGACCAGUUCUGACACUGAGGCGCGACAGCGUGGGGAGCAAACAGG
rnacentral:rRNA from 1 species